rnacentral:rRNA from 1 species
AGGUGCCCGUACCGCAAACCGACACAGGUAGUCAAGAUGAGAAUUCUAAGGGGAGCGAGCGAACUGUCGUUAAGGAACUCGGCAAAAGGACCCCGUAACUGCGGGAGAAGGGGUGCUCUUUAGGGUGUAAGCCCAGAAGAGCCGCAGUGAAUAGGCCCAAGCGACUGUUUAGCAAAAACACAGGUCUCUGCUAAACCGUAAGGUGAUGUAUAGGGGCUGACGCCUGCC